rnacentral:rRNA from 1 species
CGCCCGCUCAGAAACUCACAGGAAUGACGGGGGCCCGCACAAGCGGAGGAACAUGUGGUUUAAUUCGAUGAUACGCGAGGAACCUUACCCGGGCUUGAAAUGCAUCUGACCGGCCUUGAAAGAGGCACUCCCUUCGGGGCAGAUGUGUAGGUGCUGCAUGGUUGUCGUCAGCUCGUGCCGUGAGGUGUCGGCUUAAGUGCCAUAACGAGCGCAACCCUCAUCAUUAGUUACCAUCAGGUAAGGCUGGGGACUCUAAUGAGACUGCCAUCGUAAGAUGUGAGGAAGGUGGGGAUGACGUCAAAUCAGCACGGCCCUUACGUCCGGGGCGACACACGUGUUACAAUGGGUGGUACAAAGGGCAGCUACCUGGCGACAGGAUGCUAAUCUCGAAAACCGCUCUCAGUUCGGAUCGGAGUCUGCAACUCGACUCCGUGAAGCUGGAUUCGCUAGUAAUCGCGCAUCAGCCACGGCGCGGUGAAUACGUUCCCGGGCCUU